AGUAAAAGUCGUAACAAGGUUUCCGUAGGUGAACCUGCGGAAGGAUCAUUAUCGAGUUUUGAAAGGGGUUGUAGCUGGCCCUCCGGGGCAAGUGCUCGCCUCGCUCAUCCACUCAACACCUGUGCACCCUCUGUGGGCCUCACGGCCUGCGUCUUCACAAACGAGUCAGUCUUUGAAUGUAUACCGCGUAUAUAACGCAUUUAAUACAACUUUCAACAACGGAUCUCUUGGCUCUCGCAUCGAUGAAGAACGCAGCGAAAUGCGAUAAGUAAUGUGAAUUGCAGAAUUCAGUGAAUCAUCGAAUCUUUGAACGCACCUUGCGCUCCUUGGUAUUCCGAGGAGCAUGCCUGUUUGAGCGUCGUGAAUCUCUCAACCCAUCUAGUGUUGAUGGGCUUGGAAUUGGAGGCCUUUGCCGGCGAUGGUCGGCUCCUCUCAAAUGAAUUAGCUGGGCUUUAGCUCGGAGGAACCGGUCGGUGUGAUAAUUAUCUAUGCCGUCUGGAGUACUUCGGAUCCCGCUCCCAACCGUCCAUUCAACGGGUCUGACCCGGGACUACAUUUUUGAAUCUGACCUCAAAUCAGGUAGGAUUACCCGCUGAACUUAAGCAUAUCAAUAAGCGGAGGAAAAGAAACUAACAAGGAUUCCCCUAGUAACUGCGAGUGAAGCGGGAAGAGCUCAAAUUUAAAAUCUGGCGGUCUCUGGCCGUCCGAGUUGUAAUCUAGAGAAGCGUUUUCCGUGCAAGGGCGAAU
rnacentral:rRNA from 1 species